rnacentral:lncRNA from 1 species
AGUUGGGGUCUAGAACCAUGGCUUCUUCGGCUGCCUUUGAAGUGUCUAUUGCGCUUGAUUUCUGGGUGGUCUCAGGGGCAUCUGAACUGUCACUCACUUCCAAGCAGCCCAUCAAGUCUCCACUCCACACCUGGGUCCCCUCACUGCUAGGCUGCCGUGGGAACUUGGCCCUGGUAGGUGACUUGCUUUCCUCGCUGAGCACAUACUUUGAUGUGUAAUUACUGGUUUGGUUUCCUGCCUGGACAGAAAUGCCCCAGAGGUGCUUCUGUGUCUCUCUCUCAUCAGCAGCUCUUGGUGCGAGUUGGGUGCCUUGGGGUUCCUGGGUUCUGCUUUCUGGGCUUUGCUCUGACUUGCACUCAGCGGGCUCAGGCACUUCCUCUGCACUGAGCUUCACUAACUCUGAGGUGAGGCAUGAAGCCACCAGACAUGACCUGGAAUCCUGUCUUAACUGGUUUUCCCCCAGGAGACCUGCAGAAGGAGUGUCCUGAGAGGCCCUUUGCAAGCGAAACCCACCAGGCUUGCAGGGACCCUGCAGAUGGGGAGCCCCACUCUGAAAAGCAGGAAUCGGGCCAGACAGCUGGGUGGGUGCAGGGGAAGGGAUGUUUUGUAUUCUUGGAUCUCGUUCAUUUUUGGCCCCUUCCUUCACAUGGGUCCCAGACUUCACAACAUUCUGUCCCACGGGAUCCUCGGGGCACUCUGGUGAAAACCCUGCUAUGGAAUGGGCCCUGACCAGUGCCCUCAUGUGCCCACAGUUGAGUCUGGGGGAUGCCCUGUUCUUGUCACCAGUAGUUUCUGGGGCACUAUGGUGACGGUUGGUGCGUAGGAGGCAAGAUGUCCUCAAAGGAGGCUGGUCGCGCAGUCCCAGAGGUGUCCUGCCUCCUGUUCUCCAGCAACUGUGGCAAAGGCUCGCCACCCAUUUUUGCAAGAGUCAUCCUCUAAGCUAGGGGACAAAUCGAGUUCUUCCUUUGCAUGAAGCCCAGGAACACUGGUCAAAUGCUGCUCCUGAGGGGGUCCAGUUGCUGAGACAUCAGGGUAUUCCCAAGGUGCUUCUAUAUCUACGGGAGUACCUCUUAGAGGGUGGAAGACUCCCCUCGGGAGGUACCCAGACAAGGACUCUGUGUCAGAGGCACUUUCAAAGGGGUCAGUUUUUGUGUCUGAUCCACUUUCACUCUGCUGGGACAGCGUUUCAGAAUCAUCGCGGUCUGUUUGCUGGUUCCAUCCCUGCUCCACUUGUUCUGCAGGGGAUGUGGGGAGCUGGUUAUCUUCAAUCUCACCUUCACCUGGCAGGUGUGCACCUGGCUCUGGAGUCUGGGAGGGCAAGAAGAGAGGAGUCAGAGACAAGGCCUGAGUACAUCUGUGCACAUGUUUACACCGUGCCUGCCUUUGCCAGAAGGAGGAAGGCUCAGAAAUGGCUCAUUAGUUCCCCAUGUACCCCU